GAUGAACGCUGGCGGCGUGCCUAAUACAUGCAAGUCGAGCGAACAGACUAGGAGCUUGCUCCUCUGACGUUAGCUGCGGACGGGUGAGUAACACUUGGAUAACCUACCUAUAAGACUGGGAUAACUUCGGGACACCGGAGCUAAUACCGGAUAAUAUAUUGAACCGCAUGGUUCAAUAGUGAAAGACGGUUUUGCUGUCACUUAUAGAUGUAUCCGCGCCGCAUUAGCUAGUUGGUAAGGUAACGGCUUACCAAGGCAACGAUGCGUAGCCGACCUGAGAGGGUGAUCGACCACACUGGAACUGAGACACGGUCCAGACACCUACGGGAGGCAGCAGUAGGGAAUCUUCCGCAAUGGGCGAAAGCCUGACGGAGCAACGCCGCGUGAGUGAUGAAGGUCUUCGGAUCGUAAAACGCUGUUAUUAGGGAAGAACAAAUGUGUAAGUAACUAUGCACGUCUUGACGGUACCUAAUCAGAAAGCCACGGCUAACUACGUG
rnacentral:rRNA from 1 species